CUGGGAAAUGAGGGGCUAGGAUGGAACCAAAGGGCUUGAGGAUGUUCAAGGGACACCUGAGAUGGUCUCUGGGGUGCAUCAGGGGCAAUGGAGCAGAGGAGAUUUUGCAGAAUGCCAGCUGAAAACCUUGGUCCUGGUUUUCUGCGGAAUGCAGGUUCCUCAGCUCUCAGCUGAAGCCAAUGCCUUCUGUUUUCUGGCAGCUUGGAUCCUUCUUUUAGCUGACUGAUGUAUCCUGUGUCUGAAGUGCCAACGCCCUCCAGAGACUGAAGCCCCCCUUCCUUCACCUGAGAUCUGCUGUCCAAAGCAGCAUGCUGUGCUAUGCCAAUCCAGUGCCUUGUCAGCAUGGCAGACAGCUGUAGUUAGAACACAAGGCUUUUGUGCUCCUCCCGCCCCCUCGUCUCUCAGGUUUUAUUCCACUCCUUUGAGCAGUGGACACGUUCCUGCCAGUCUCAGUGUUUUAAUUUAAUUUGGGCACAGACUAUAUAAAAUUGAACAGAUGUCUGAAAGCAGUGAAGAGAAGACCAUAAAAUGAACCACGUGCUCAGCUUCACUCGAACCAAGCAAUGCUGUAUUAUUAUUUUUUUUUUGUCCCCAUUGCCACAAAGAUCACAUGUGGGCUGGAGCUGUGUGGCAAGAGGAUCCAACAUGGGGAGAGAGGUAUUGUUUGCAGAGACCUAAAACUGGAAAGCAUUUUAGUUAAAAGCAGUGACAUCAAUGAAAUAAAUGAAGUGAAAGUAAACAUAAAGACUUGUGCAUCUUUAUACAAUCUCGUGCUCAUUUUAAGGAACAUCAUUGUGGAUUUCUCUGUACCCUUCAGUUUGGGGCAUUGUGUGCCUUUCUUCCUGAAAAUACCAGAGUUUCAGUUAACUCACCUGCAGCCACAUAAUUGCUCCAGCUGA
ensembl:lncRNA